rnacentral:rRNA from 1 species
AUUGAGCGCUGGCGGCAUGCCUUACACAUGCAAGUCGAACGGCAGCACGGGUGCUUGCACCUGGUGGCGAGUGGCGAACGGGUGAGUAAUACAUCGGAACAUGUCCUGUAGUGGGGGAUAGCCCGGCGAAAGCCGGAUUAAUACCGCAUACGAUCCACGGAUGAAAGCGGGGGACCUUCGGGCCUCGCGCUAUAGGGUUGGCCGAUGGCUGAUUAGCUAGUUGGUGGGGUAAAGGCCUACCAAGGCGACGAUCAGUAGCUGGUCUGAGAGGACGACCAGCCACACUGGGACUGAGACACGGCCCAGACUCCUACGGGAGGCAGCAGUGGGGAAUUUUGGACAAUGGGCGAAAGCCUGAUCCAGCAAUGCCGCGUGUGUGAAGAAGGCCUUCGGGUUGUAAAGCACUUUUGUCCGGAAAGAAAUCCUUGACUCUAAUACAGUCGGGGGAUGACGGUACCGGAAGAAUAAGCACCGGCUAACUACGUG